rnacentral:tRNA from 1 species
GGGGUUAUGGCUCAGUGGUACAGCGCUCGCCUUGCAUGUGUGCGGCCCUGAGUUCAAUCCUCAGCACCA